UUCCCCUCAUCGUCUUCCCCACGAUACCAGCUUCCAACACCCACCCACCCCUUUCCUUGUGUGUGGCCUACCAUUCUUGGCACCGCCCAACCUCUCCUGGCCUCUCUCCCCCGCACCACCCAUCUACUGAGUCAGCGAACGACGACGUGCGGCCUCCACUCAGCCGCCCAGCUCCGGCCUACUUCCCUUGUCGCCGCCCUUUACUAGCCUCUCUUUGUCUCCUUCGCAGUUUAUAUCCAUGAAAUUUUGGGAUUCAAAAAUCUUACUUCUCUCACUAAGCUUGAUCUAUCUGACAAUAACAUAUCAACACUUCCCCAGAGUUGCUUGCAGGUCUUAAGACUUGAUGGAAAUUCGUUGAGAAGCAUCCGAAGGACAAUCUUAGAUAGAGGAACCAAGGCUGUCUUAACAUAUUUGAAGGACAAAAUUAUAGAUCUCUAGUUUAGUUGCAAUUCUAUCCUGACAUCUCUCACUCUUUGAUUUGCCAGAAUUCUUAAUUUGAAGACCACGUGGUUCUUUACAUGGUUGGAGUGAGCGUGACAUUUGUGACCUUACGAAUUAAUUUAUGAUUGUUUUUGUCAUUUUUAAUAUCCCAAUGUUUGACCAUGGGAUUGUAUUUGCUGUUACUGAUAAUAAUUUAUUUUCUCCACGUAAGCUAUGCCUAUGUGUUUGUAAAAUAUUAUGUGAUUGGUUGUGUAUUCUAUUCUCGUUGUUGUUA